rnacentral:rRNA from 1 species
GCAGUAGCCGCGGUAAUACAGAGGGUGCAAGCGUUAAUCGGAAUUACUGGGCGUAAAGCGUGCGUAGGUGGUGGUUUAAGUCCGUUGUGAAAGCCCUGGGCUCAACCUGGGAAUUGCAGUGGAUACUGGGUCACUAGAGUGUGGUAGAGGAUAGUGGAAUUUCCGGUGUAGCAGUGAAAUGCGUAGAGAUCGGAAGGAACAUCUGUGGCGAAGGCGACUAUCUGGGCCAACACUGACACUGAGGCACGAAAGCGUGGGGAGCAAACAGGAUUAGAUACCCCUGUAGUCCCUGUCUCUUAUAC